ACACAUGCAUGCCCAGGCCCACCCUUAGCCAUUUUUAUAUAGUCAGACUUGAGUGAAGCAAAAAUACCUGUGAUUUUCACAAAGUGUUUCUGAAGCACAGCUCUGCUCAGAGCCCUUGCUUUACAGGUUCCAAUAGUGUCAAAUCUAUGUCACUUAGCCUGAAUCCUCUGGAAAGCCGAGCCUGAAGCAAUGAUUAUGAUUCUAAUAGUUUAUUUUCCAGAUACAAUCACAUCACAGGAUGUUGAGCCUCCUCACCCCAUGUGGAGGUGAGGCUUUCCUCAGGUGGUCCCCUGCCAAAGUGGGGAAGUCAGCUGGAUUCCUUAUCCUACUCAGAUGUCACUGCUACACGUGUUGAGAAAGAAGAUCAUGCUCCUUGAAUCCUUUCUUGUGCAAGACCUUUGAUUCCCUCGGUACCAUCCGUUCUAUCCCAUUCCCUGGACCAAAUGUU
rnacentral:lncRNA from 10 species